UCUCGAAUAUGUUAUGAGUUAAAUUUGAAAUAGUUAAUGUUGAAAAAAGUUAUUUUUAGGUGUGAAAUGUAAUUCGUAUAUGAAUAUCUAGUUUUUUGGGAUUAAAUUUAUAUUUAUUUUCUUUUAGAAUAAAUAUUUAUUUAGGGAUUAGCUUAAUUAAUGGUUAUAUUAAUAAAAGGAUUGGAACUGUUGGUAGAAAUAAAAAUUUUAGUUGUAUUUAAUUAUUAGUUUUUUAUUAGUUAAUAUUUUUAUAUAUUUAAUUGUUUACUGAAAUGUUAUUAUUAUUGUAAUAUAAUAAUUAAUAAUGAUUAAAUAAGUAGAAAAGUAUUUAUAGAUUAAAUUUUAUAUUUUAUUAAUAGGAAUGUUUGGUAAUAUUAUAAUAUUAAACUAAUGUGUUUAUUGCCUGUUUAUCAAAUACAUGGUUGUAAGAUUAAUAUUUACAAUUAGAUCUGCUCUUCUGAAAAUAUAUUAAAGGGCUGCGGUAUGUUGACCGUACUAAGGUAGCGAAAUCAUUAGUUUUUUAAUUGAAAACCUGAAUGAAUGAUUAGACGAUGAAUAAAUUUAUUAUUGUAAGAAAUUGAAUUUAUAUUUUGAGUGAAAAUAUUUAAGUGAUUAUUAAAGACGAGAAGACCCUAUUGAACUUUAUUGUAAAUGUAAAUUUGGUUUUAUUUUUAUAGAUUAAUUGGGGUGAUUUUUAUUGUAAAUAAUAAUAAGUUAUUAUAUAAUUUUUUUAUUAAUUAAAUAUCUUAAAUUAGAAAUAUGAAAAUAGUUACCUUAGGGAUAACAGCAUAAUCUUUUUGGAAAGUUCUUAUAGAUAGAAAGGGUUGUGACCUCGAUGUUGGAUUAAAAUUUCCUUAUUGGUGUAAUGGUUAAAAGGGUUAGUCUGUUCGACUAUUAAAAUUUUACAUGAUCUGAGUUCAAAUCGGCGUGAGCCAGAUUGGUUUUUAUCUUGAUUAAAAUAAUUAAAUAUAUUAGUACGAAAGGAACAUAUGUUUUAAAUUUUUUAUUUGAAGUGAUAGUUUAUUAA
rnacentral:rRNA from 1 species